UGGGGAAUCUUGGGCAAUGCCCGCAAGGGUGACCCAGCGACGCCGCGUGCGGGAAGAAGCCCUUCGGGGUGUAAACCGCUUUUCUGGGGGAAGAAUAAGGCGGGGAGGAAAUGCCCCGCCGAUGACGGUACCCCAGGAAUAAGGGACGGCUAACUACGUGCCAGCAGCCGCGGUAAGACGUAGGUCCCGAGCGUUGCCCGGAUUUACUGGGCGUAAAGUGCGCGUAGGCGGUUCGGCAAGUCGUCCGUGAAAGCCCGGGGCUCAACUCCGGGAGGCCGGGCGAAACUGCCGGGCUAGAGGACGGCAGAGGAGGGUGGAGCGGCCGGAGUAGCGGUGAAAUGC
rnacentral:rRNA from 1 species